rnacentral:rRNA from 1 species
GUAAGGAAUAUUGCGCAAUGGGCGAAAGCCUGACGCAGCGACGCCGCGUGGGGGAUGAAGGUCUUCGGAUUGUAAACCCCUUUCGGGAGGGAAGAUGGAGCGAGCAAUCGUUCGGACGGUACCUCCAGAAGCAGCCACGGCCAACUUCGUGCCAGCAGCCGCGGUAAUACGAAGGUGGCAAGCGUUGUUCGGAUUCACUGGGCGUACAGGGUGUGUAGGCGGUUUGGUAAGCCUUCUGUUAAAGCUUCGGGCCCAACCCGGAAAGCGCAGAGGGUACUGCCAGGCUAGAGGGUGGGAGAGGAGCGCGGAAUUCCCGGUGUAGCGGUGAAAUGCGUAGAGAUCGGGAGGAAGGCCGGUGGCGAAGGCGGCGCUCUGGAACAUACCUGACGCUGAGACACGAAAGCGUGGGGAGCAAACAGGAUUAGAAACCCCAGUAGUCC